UGGGGAAUAUUGCACAAUGGGCGCAAGCCUGAUGCAGCCAUGCCGCGUGUGUGAAGAAGGCCUUCGGGUUGUAAAGCACUUUCAGCGAGGAGGAAGGUGGUGGACUUAAUACGUUCAUCAAUUGACGUUACUCGCAGAAGAAGCACCGGCUAACUCCGUGCCAGCAGCCGCGGUAAUACGGAGGGUGCAGGCGUUAAUCGGAAUUACUGGGCGUAAAGCGCACGCAGGCGGUUUGUUAAGUCAGAUGUGAAAUCCCCGGGCUCAACCUGGGAACUGCAUUUGAAACUGGCAAGCUAGAGUCUCGUAGAGGGGGGUAGAAUUCCAGGUGUAGCGGUGAAAUGCGUAGAGAUCUGGAGGAAUACCGGUGGCGAAGGCGGCCCCCUGGACGAAGACUGACGCUCAGGUGCGAAAGCGUGGGGAGCAAACAGGAUUAGAUACCCUGGUAGUCCACGCUGUAAACGAUGUCGAUUUUGGAGGUUGUGCCCUUGAGGCGUGGCUUCCGGAGCUAACGCGUUAAAUCGACCGCCUGGGGAGUACGGCCGCAAGGUU
rnacentral:rRNA from 1 species